GGUGGUGUAGCUCAGUGGUAGAGCACUUGCCCAACUUGCACAAGGCCCUGGGUUCAACCCCCAGCACCACAA
rnacentral:tRNA from 1 species